rnacentral:rRNA from 1 species
CUCGCCGGAUGUAGGAACCGACCCGGGGACCGCCGGGGCAACCCGGCGCCCCCGAGACGGGCGAACCACGGUGAAAUGACGGAUCGUCGGCCCCGCGCCGGCGACUCGCCGAAUGAGUUUCUGACCUAUCAACUCGAGACGGCGGGGUAGAGGCCCGCCGCGGUAACGACGGGUAACGGGGAAUCAGGGUUCGAUUCCGGAGAGGGAGCCCGAGAAACGGCUACCACUUCCAAGGAAGGCAGCAGGCGCGCAACUUACCCUAAUCUCGAUUCGAGGAGGUAGUGACAAGAAAUACCGAUGCGGGACCCUACGGGUGCCGCGUUCGGAAUGAGUACGAUUCGAACCACCUAACGAGGAACGAGUCGGAGGACAAGUCGUGGUCGCCGAGACGACGCCCGGUACGGUUAACUUCCGA